UUAAUGAUUACCUCUCUACUAUUUACUUUUAUUAUUAUAGAAGAUCAUUGGAGUUCAAGGAUGUGUAUUUCUAGCUCAGUUAGUGGGUGACUACUGCUCCAGUUAAACUUGGGGAAAGAAACAGGGAGAUCAUUUUUCUGACAAUAUGAGAUUUCCAAAUUGGGUAGGAGGAAAAUGUUUUUCAUGCAAGUUAGUGAAUUCAAGAGCUAGAUAUCUCAAAAAAGAGGAUACAUUCACGGGUUGCAGAUGCUUCAGAAUACGACUGCUGCACAUUUUCAGAUUUUCACCCUUGUGGAUCCUUGAAACACGGACUUUAGUGGCUAUAUUCAAGAUAUGAGAUGUAAGAGACUAUUGGCGCAUCUGAAACCUUAACUUGGAGAAUGAAGAGAAAAGUCCCUUCAACAUUAACCCAUUGGAGUGGACUGAACUUACUAACUCAAGCAAACCUCCAACAUGUUGGUGAAAAUGUAUGCCUAAGAUGCUAUAUGUGCCUAGAGGAAGCUGAAUUCAUCAUUCAGUGAAGUAAAUAGAUCAGCACUGAGCAGUUGGUGCAUGUACCAUUGCUUGUAUAUUGUUUGUGCAUGUUUCAAAGAUUAUUCAAAUACAAAUGGUGGUACCUGCCCCUGGUACUGUAAAAGAAGUUAUUAUUAGCUUAGAUGGGCGAGAAAGUAAAAAACAUCUCAGAGUUGUAUGUAAUACAAUUUCAACCUGUAAUUUUUAUGUAGUUUGGAAUGACAAGUAGAUGUAUCAAAAAUGAGAAACUUCGGUCCACACGCUUUGAAUACAGUUUGUUUGUGUUUGGUGGCUGUCUGAAUCAAAA